UACGUAGGGCGCAAGCGUUUGUCCGGAAUUAUUGGGCGUAAAGAGCUCGUAGGCGGUUUGUCGCGUCUGCUGUGAAAUCCCGAGGCUCAACCUCGGGCUUGCAGUGGGUACGGGCAGACUAGAGUGCGGUAGGGGGAGACUGGAUUCCUGGUGUAGCGGUGGAAUGCGCAGAUAUCAGGAGGAACACCGAUGGCGAAGGCAGGUCUCUGGGCCGC
rnacentral:rRNA from 1 species